UCACUGCUAUCGGGGUUCGACUAAGCCAUGCAAGUCGAGAGGGGAAAGCCCUCGGCGAACUGCUCGUAACACGUGGACAACCUGCCCUAAGGAGGAGGAUAAUCCCGGGAAACUGGGGAUAAUACUCCAUGGUCUAGGGAAGCUGGAAGCUCCCUAGUCCAAAGCUCCGGCGCCUUAGGAUGGGUCGCGGCUGAUCAGGUUGUUGUGGGGUAACGCCCACUAGCCUACGACGGGUACGGGUUGUGAGAGCAAGAGCCCGUAGAGGAUUCUGAGCAUGAAUCCAGGCCCUACGGGGCGCAGCAGGCGCGAUG
rnacentral:rRNA from 1 species